GAUGAACGCUGGCGGCGUGCUUAACACAUGCAAGUCGAACGGUGAAAGAGAGCUUGCUCUCUGGAUCAGUGGCGAACGGGUGAGUAACACGUGAGCAAUCUGCCCCUGACUCUGGGAUAAGCGCUGGAAACGGCGUCUAAUACCGGAUACGAGCUGCGAAGGCAUCUUCAGCAGCUGGAAAGAACUUCGGUCAGGGAUGAGCUCGCGGCCUAUCAGCUAGUUGGUGAGGUAAUGGCUCACCAAGGCGUCGACGGGUAGCCGGCCUGAGAGGGUGACCGGCCACACUGGGACUGAGACACGGCCCAGACUCCGACGGGAGGCAGCAGUGGAGAAGAUUGCACAAUGGGCGCAAGCCUGAUGCAGCAACGCCGCGUGAGGGACGACGGCCUUCGGGUUGUAAACCGCUUUCAGCAGGGACGAAAAUGACGGUACCUGCAGAAGAAGCCCCGGCUAACUACGUGCCAGCCGCCGCAGUAACAC
rnacentral:rRNA from 1 species